CCAAUACACAUCCAAUUUGAAAUUGUAGAAAUUUUUGGCGCAGUUAACUAAAAGUGGGUACAGCUUUGGUUUACUUUUAGCCAGCACUCGACCUUUCUUGUGACGAACUUUAAAUCUGUCAUCAGUUUGAUUUCAGUUGGUAAUGUGUGGUAUUUUUCAAGUGCACUUCACGCUGCGCCUUGUUACUCUUUUACUGUCUUCUCUUUGAAUAAAUGUUUAAAGAGACUGGAGCUAAACUGUUGAUACAUUUGAAAGCUAAUUUCAGGAAACAAAAGUUGAUGAAGCUCUUCAAAGCUGAGAAGAUUGUAUUGCUCUGAUAUGUGACAGUGAUGCUAGCAGACAGGCUUUUUGUCCAUUAUUUUUUGUGCCUGAUUAUGUAAAGAUGUAAGGUUCCUUCUUGUUAAAUAUUCAGUUAAACAUAUCGCUGACAUUUGUUUUUUCUCUUCAGGCCUCUAAAUUGGCAGCACUGUUGAUGAAAGUUCUGGAGAUUAUCAGAUCCAGUCAUGUGUGCGGGGAAUCCCAGCUGACGUGGGUUCAGUUCUUAGAUGGAGCUGUCGAUCACAACCUGCAAAAAGCCAAAGACUUUAUUCAGCAAGACAGCUAGUGUGUGUGUGUGUGUGUGUGUGUGUGUGUGUGUGUGUGUGUGCGUGCGUGCAUGCGUGUACGUGUGUGUGUGUGUGUGCGUGCGUGCGUGUGUGCAUGCGUGUGCAGAGCAUGUUUAAGAACUGUGCAGUAUCAAUGCUUGUGUAACAUAUAAAUAAAAGGGAUGUCUUGAGUCCUAACAUGAA